AAAUUGAAGAGUUUGAUCAUGGCUCAGAUUGAACGCUGGCGGCAGGCCUAACACAUGCAAGUCGAGCGGUAGCACAGAGAGCUUGCUCUCGGGUGACGAGCGGCGGACGGGUGAGUAAUGUCUGGGAAACUGCCUGAUGGAGGGGGAUAACUACUGGAAACGGUAGCUAAUACCGCAUAAUGUCGCAAGACCAAAGUGGGGGACCUUCGGGCCUCAUGCCAUCAGAUGUGCCCAGAUGGGAUUAGCUAGUAGGUGGGGUAACGGCUCACCUAGGCGACGAUCCCUAGCUGGUCUGAGAGGAUGACCAGCCACACUGGAACUGAGACACGGUCCAGACUCCUACGGGAGGCAGCAGUGGGGAAUAUUGCACAAUGGGCGCAAGCCUGAUGCAGCCAUGCCGCGUGUGUGAAGAAGGCCUUCGGGUUGUAAAGCACUUUCAGCGGGGAGGAAGGCGAUAAGGUUAAUAACCUUGUCGAUUGACGUUACCCGCAGAAGAAGCACCGGCUAACUCCGUGCCAGCAGCCGCGGUAAUACGGAGGGUGCAAGCGUUAAUCGGAAUUACUGGGCGUAAAGCGCACGCAGGCGGUCUGUCAAGUCGGAUGUGAAAUCCCCGGGCUCAACCUGGGAACUGCAUUCGAAACUGGCAGGCUAGAGUCUUGUAGAGGGGGGUAGAAUUCCAGGUGUAGCGGUGAAAUGCGUAGAGAUCUGGAGGAAUACCGGUGGCGAAGGCGGCCCCCUGGACAAAGACUGACGCUCAGGUGCGAAAGCGUGGGGAGCAAACAGGAUUAGAUACCCUGGUAGUCCACGCCGUAAACGAUGUCGAUUUGGAGGUUGUGCCCUUGAGGCGUGGCUUCCGGAGCUAACGCGUUAAAUCGACCGCCUGGGGAGUACGGCCGCAAGGUUAAAACUCAAAUGAAUUGACGGGGGCCCGCACAAGCGGUGGAGCAUGUGGUUUAAUUCGAUGCAACGCGAAGAACCUUACCUGGUCUUGACAUCCACAGAACUUUCCAGAGAUGGAUUGGUGCCUUCGGGAACUGUGAGACAGGUGCUGCAUGGCUGUCGUCAGCUCGUGUUGUGAAAUGUUGGGUUAAGUCCCGCAACGAGCGCAACCCUUAUCCUUUGUUGCCAGCGGUUCGGCCGGGAACUCAAAGGAGACUGCCAGUGAUAAACUAGAGGAAGGUGGGGAUGACGUCAAGUCAUCAUGGCCCUUACGACCAGGGCUACACACGUGCUACAAUGGCAUAUACAAAGAGAAGCGACCUCGCGAGAGCAAGCGGACCUCAUAAAGUAUGUCGUAGUCCGGAUUGGAGUCUGCAACUCGACUCCAUGAAGUCGGAAUCGCUAGUAAUCGUAGAUCAGAAUGCUACGGUGAAUACGUUCCCGGGCCUUGUACACACCGCCCGUCACACCAUGGGAGUGGGUUGCAAAAGAAGUAGGUAGCUUAACCUUCGGGAGGGCGCUUACCACUUUGUGAUUCAUGACUGGGGUGAAGUCGUAACAAGGUAACCGUAGGGGAACCUGCGGUUGGAUCACCUCCUUACCUUAAAGAA
rnacentral:rRNA from 1 species